GAUGAACGCUGGCGGCGUGCCUAACGCAUGCAAGUCGAGCGGUAAGGCUCUGCACAGUUUGCUUCUGACGCCCGUACGGGCGAUUCAGCAGGAGCAAAGCGUGUAGAGUACACGAGCGGCGGACGGCUGAGUAACACGUAGGAACGUACCCCAAAGUGAGGGAUAAGCUCCAGAAAUGGUGUCUAAUACCGCAUGUGGUCUAAGGAUUAAAGCUUCGGCGCUUUGGGAACGGCCUGCGCAUGAUUAGCUUGUUGGUGAGGUAACGGCUCACCAAGGCUACGAUCAUUAGCUGGUCUGAGAGGAUGAUCAGCCAGACUGGGACUGAGACACGGCCCAGACUCCUACGGGAGGCAGCAGCGGGGAAUUUUUCACAAUGGACGAAAGUCUGAUGGAGCAACGCCGCGUGCAGGAUGAAUGCCUUCGGGUUGUAAACUGCUUUUAUCUGUGAAGAUUAUGACGGUAGCAGAUGAAUAAGGAUCGGCUAAUUCCGUGC
rnacentral:rRNA from 1 species